rnacentral:rRNA from 1 species
GGCAGCAGUGGGGAAUAUUGCGCAAUGGGGGAAACCCUGACGCAGCGACGCCGCGUGGAUGAUGAAGGCCUUCGGGUUGUAAAGUCCUAUUCUGGGGGACGAAACCUUAAGGGUCCAAUAGGCCCUUAAGCUGACGGUACCCCAAGAGAAAGCUCCGGCUAAUUAUGUGCCAGCAGCCGCGGUAAUACAUAAGGAGCAAGCGUUGUCCGGAAAUUAUUGGGCGUAAAGAGCUCGUAGGCGGUCUUAAAAAGUCAGGUGUGAAAAUUAUCAGGCUUAACCUGGUAAGGUCGAGG